AGCAGCCGCGGUAAUUCCAGCUCCAAUAGCGUAUAUUAAAGUUGUUGCAGUUAAAAAGCUCGUAGUUGAAUUUCGGGAUCAGUUGGUCGGUCGUGCCUCGGUACGUACUGGUCAAAUUGAUUCCUACCUUCUGACGAACCACGAUGUCAUUAAUUUGGUGUCGUGGGGAAUCAGGACUGUUACUUUGAAAAAUUAGAGUGUUUAAAGCAGGCUCGCGCUUGAAUACAUUAGCAUGGAAUAAUGAAAUAGGACGUUUGAUUCUAUUUUGUUGGUUUCUAGGAUCGACGUAAUGAUUAAUAGGGAUAGUUGGGGGCAUUAGUAUUCAAUUGUCAGAGGUGAAAUUCUUGGAUUUAUUGAAGACUAACUACUGCGAAAGCAUUUGCCAAGGAUGUUUUCAUUAAUCAAGAACGAAAGUUAGGGGAUCGAAGACGAUCAGAUACCGUCGUAGUCUUAACCAUAAACUAUGCCGACUAGGGAUCGGAUGAUGUUAAUUUUUAAUGUACUCAU
rnacentral:rRNA from 1 species